AGAGCCCAACACCCAGAGGAGGGUGGGAAGGGGGAGAGGAGAGCAGCACCCAGGCCUCCAAAGAAGCCCUACUGUUUGUGGAGGCAGCCCCAGAUCUCACGACACCUUGACCUCAGCCAGGGCGCCCAGCAUCCAGGCCCAGGCUGGGCAUCAUCUCCUUGAGGACUCAGCCCCUGCAGGUGAAGGGAACAAGCAGGGGAGGGAAGGGAGAGCUGUGAUUAGCCCUGUUUUAUAGGCAAGGUUAUGAGGAGCAGGGGGGACAGAAGUGGGGACCAGCAGCUAAUCCAAUUCCAGGCCACUCACUGACUCCAGCCUGUGAUACCCCAGCCUUGCCGGCAGAGCUGAAGCAGGGUCACCCCACCCCUCUGGGCCUCACGUCCCUAUCUGUUGCGGAUCAAGGGUAAUAAUGGUGGCUACUUCAUGGGAUUCCUUCGGGGCUUACGUCAGUCCGUGUGUACAAAACGCACACACAGCGCCUGCUCAUAGGGCACAGAUGUUAGCUGAGAGGUAGGUAACUUGCCUGAGGUCACAUACCUAACAAGUGGCAGGCCUCAGAGCCACUCAUUAUUCAUGUAACUAUUUAAGUCACCUGUCUGAGGCACCGUGGGUGUGCUCAGAAACAAGACAGAUUCGUCCUGGCUCUGUGGCGAUGACAACCAAAUGGGGGACACAGGUGACAACAAACAAACGUAGGCCAGGUUGGUGGUAUCCGUGCCAAGGGAAAGGGGGGUGGCGGGCUGGCACCGAGUGCGAGUGCGGGGUCCUCAGCCUGUGGCCCCUUUUCCCGAGUGAGGCUGCGCCUGUUUGCCCGCUGCGGGGGAGGGGCGGGCGCUCACCCGGGAGGCGGGCACAGCUCCCUGGAUGCUCCUCCUUCCCCACCCUCCACGGUCCACUUGAUUCUGUGCCUUGGAGCCCUCACCACAGCUGGUGAUGCAGGCGUGGAGCCUGCUGCUGAGGACGGCAGCACAUCUAGAAGCCUUUGAAAGGCUCUUGGGAAAUUGCAUUGCCCUCUGAAGGUCAGUGUCUGGUUCUUCACCUCAAGGAGAAAUAAAGAGCACCUGGAUACUCAAGUGCUUGUUCCAGGAGGAUCUGGGCCCAAGGGACAGGGUAAGCACUCCCAGUCCCCGAGCCCCACCGGAGCCAUGAGCUGUUGUCCCUCUGAUGCGAGUUAUUUCUCAUCAUCUAAGCCACCUGUGGGGAGGUGAGGAGGGAAUGUUUGAUUACUGGGGCUGCAGCCAGAGAAACCUUUGCUGGGGAUGUCUGAACUGAGACCAAGGAGAGCCUGUGGGGCUUAGACCUGCUACCGCUUUUGAUGGCCAAGUCAAUGCCAGUUGUGCCCACUUCCCAGAUGGGAGCAGUGAGUUGGUGGAGAGAUCAUGUGACCUGAAGCUAGGAGCAUGGGGAGCCCCAUUUCAGUCAUUCCCCGGUCUCAGAAGCCACCUUUGACUCCAGUACCUCUUUCUUGGAGGGUCAAUAGGCUGUCAAGGGUAGACCCAAAAGAGCAAAGGCUGAGGCGGCAGCAAUCCCCGAUAGGGGGUGAGGCUCUCCUGGGGCUCUCCUUCCAGCUGUAGCUCCAAGAGCAGGUGGGAAGUAACUUGGCCAACGGUCCUCUGAACAGUGCCAUUUUCUGGACCCUCCUGCUCUGCCUCAGCAGAGAUUUUGUGAGAGGAUUCUUGCGACCAGCUAGGUAAGUCUGGCGUUUGUUAGUGUGUCAAAUGCUCAGAAGCAAAAGAAAUUAGCCCCAUUUAAUGCCCAGCCAUCUGAGGCCAGUCUCCACCAGCCAAAACAGUCCAAGAAUGGGGAACUAAGUCCCAGCAGAAGCCAGGAUCCAUCGUGAGCAAUCAGACCACCACCAAGUGAGUCGGGUUUCCCCUUGAUUCAGAAUCAAGAGACCAAGAAGGUCUGGACUCUGCUCCCCUGUGAGAAAUAAACCCACUGACCCAAUCAAAGGAGGGACCAUGGAGACUUACAACACAGUGAAGCAAGGCUUUAACCAACAUUCUUGCAAGAGCAGGUCUGAUGGACAGGCAAGCUCGGGGCAGUUACAGCAACUUACCUCCUAGUGUGAAGUCCUUCCCCUGGUUCCUCAUUGGCUGAGCACUACAGAGAUCUUCAAGUCAAGGAGAAGCACUCUUGAUGAGGUACAUGCAGAGAUGACAUCCAGAUUCAGACCUGACAUGGAUGACAAGCCCCUCGGCCUCACAUUGAUGCCUUAAUGAGGUGGAUUUGGGGAAGGAGGUGACUGCAUUUUGUACAUGGUUGCUAGAAGUCAGACCAUGGUAUACAGUCUCCAAAGAUGGCCACUGUUAACUUCAUGCUACUGCUCCUCACAUGAAAAGAUGGGGCCUAAUUCUCUUCUCCUUGAAUCUGGGCCAGCAUAAUGACUUACUUGAUCAACAGGAUGCAGCAGAAAUGACGCUCUUGGAUUUCUGAGAUAAAUCUUAAAAAGCCUCAUAGCCCCCUUUGGGGCCUCUUGGGCUGCUCACUUUGGGUACACUUCCUCUCAGAAUCUAGAUGCCAUGUUCUGAGAAGCCCAAGCUACAUAGAGAGGUCACAGGUAGGCAUUCCAGCUGACUCCCAGCUAACAACUGGUGCCAAAUGCCAGGGUAAUUGAGUGAGCUACCUUGGAAACUGAAUUAAUUUGAACUUUCUGAUGACUCCAGCCCCAACAUCUGUCUUCAACUGCAUGAGAGGUCCCAAAUGAGAACCCCAUUGACUGACUACAGUCUACUUAUAGAACCUUGAGAGAUAAUAAAUUUGUUUUAAUUUA